CCAUAAUUCAAUUACCUCCCCCUGGGUCCCACCCACAACAUGUGGGAAUUCUGGGAAAUACAAUUCAAGUUGAUAUUUGGGUGGAGACAAAGCCAAAACAUAUCAGCCAUCAUCGCAGGUUCAAUGAAAAGCUAGUUUAGGAAAAUGCUCAAAUUAAGAUUUCUGAAAUAUCCCCUUUCCUACCACAUGUCCAGUGCAUUCUCUCACCGGAGAGUAGGACUUAGGUGGCAGGGGCUGAACCAGCAUCACCUCUACUAGUCUUCUUAUAUGCAGGCAACAAGACUGAAGAAGGGAAAGUGAAUUGAGAUUGCAGGCAAGAGAUAAGGUUGUUUGUCAAGAAAAACCCCGAUAUUGAUCAUAUCUAUGGAGCCACAAGUGGAAGCCAAAAGUGGUCUUCCCAGUGUGUUAAUCUCUGGGAGGUGUUCUUAUCUUCCAGCAUCUACUCCCUUCUAGUUAUCUAAUUGCAUUGUAACAAAUCUUUAUGACAGAAGUGGAAUGCCUCUUUCUCCCUCCCUUUCCCCACCUCCCCUUGGUAUGUGAUGGUAGACAGUAUAGUGACUUCGAGUGUUUAUUUAACUGUGCAUGCUUUUUCUCCAUCGUCUAAACAUCCGCCAGGAACCUUGACAUUAGUUUCACCUCUCCUCUGGGGCUGAGAGAUGGGAAAGAAGCGUCAAGAACUUGAACAGAAAUCCAGCUCUCAGUACAUUGCAAAAACCAGCCCUUUUUACUCAGAUCACCAGCAAAUCUGAGGCCACCGAGAAGCUCCCCAGGCCCCUUGGGCGCAAAGGAAACAUUAAGCAUCUAUGUGCUCUUCUCCCCUGCCGAUAUCAUCCAUCUGAAGGAUUUUUCCCGUACCCUGGGAAGAUACACAAAAGUUUGCAGAAAUGCUCCACAGCUUGUUUUUAGUUUACAGCCCUGCACAUAGGGAUGUGCACUGACUCUUGUGGGUAAUCCUGCAACCAGCCCAUUUUGCUUGUUUGAGGACCUGGAGAUGAUCCACCACCUAAGGUGGCACUGUGACCAGAGGAAAUUGAUUACCACUCCCCUACAACUACGGAACUGAGCACGUUAGAGAUCCAUCCAGAGCGAUUGCUAGAAGCAAUCCACUAAAGAGACGAGGUCUCACUAUGUUGCCCAGGCUGAUCUUGAACUCCUGGGUUCAAGAGAUCCACCCAUCUCAGCCUCCCAAAGCGCUGGGAUUACAGGUGUGAGCCACCGUGCCCAGCCCUGAUGCAUUUUCUGAAAGCUCUUCAGAAGCAAGUAAAUUGCUAAAGUAUUGUGUCUCCUAAAACGUUCAUGGAAAGGAUAGAAAGGACCCUGACAUCAUUUGCGCUGGAAACCCUGAGACAAAGUCAGAAAGAUCUGGAAAGACCUGCCAGAGGAAAUCUGCCACCCCUCUGGACUAGGAGACUUCAUCUACAUAAAAGUGGGCUGUCACCAUGCUGGGAGGGACCCUUUAAAGUGCUGUCGAUGACCCAUAAGGCUAUCAGUGCAAAAGGCAAACUGCUGAAUCCAGGCUUCCUAUGUGAAGCUAGCACCACAGGACAGGUGGACUGUGCUUUCUACAAAGGACCUAAAACUGAAGUUUUCUACUCAACUGAAAAGAAGUAUUCUAGAAAAUGUAUUACUAUUCCUAUAGGCUGCCUGGCUGUUCUGUUCAUGACGGUGGUUAUUCCAAUUACUUUGAGAAUUAUAUUUAUUAGAAAACAAACAGUAUUAUUUGUUGCACUUCUUUUUUCUUCUGCACUCCCAGUAAAUGUUCCCAUAACCCCACAUCACCAAUCAGCUUUAAAUUAUGCUCCCAGGAUUAACAUGAUCUGGACUUACAAGUCCAACAAUUUCAUUUUUAGCAGAGUGUAAGUGGGGUCAUUUUCACUAGUACUGUUCAAUAAUAAUGAAAGUAAUAAAUAUGCAUCCAGACACUCAAGCUCUAAAUUUGACACCAAGAAAAGUUAACUGGUUUGAUUGGAAGGAUGAUGUAGAAAGGCAUCUAAUGAAUAGACAAACAGAAACUGCAAAAGACAGUUUUAAUGUCACUAGAUUCACAAUGGGAUGCAAGUUCUCUCCAAUUCCAGUACAGAUGAAUAAACAAAAGUGAAUGCCUGUUAUAUUUAAAGGUUAUUCCUCCAAGGCAAAUAUUAUACUGAAUUUUAAAAUUCAUCAUACUGUGAUUCUGGUAAUUGCAUUGUUUGCAUUUUACUAUAGAUUUGCUGAAUUUUCAGGCAACUGCAAGUUGCCCAGAAAAAGGUACAAAUAAUUAGGAGAUUGUAAUGUGAUUUUUGUAGUAACACAGGGAGGUGAUUGUAAGGGCAAAUACAAAUUAAAAAUAAGAGGCUUAACUCUCCCUGUUGAAAAUAAGAGAAAAUAUCUCCCCUCUUUCUUUUCAGAAUUUCUUUUUCUAUUCUUUUCAAAUGUGUAUAAAUCUCUAUGGCUAAAUAAGUUUCUCAACUCAGGAAUGUUUCCUGCAGGGCCUGGGAGUCAUCUUUUUGAAAUGCAAACAUCACGGAAGAUAGUGUCCCUAUCUCAGCACCUACUGUUGUAGUCGGCACAUUGCAGGUACUCAAAACAAUUUUGUGAAUGAGGAUGUAUGUCUUCUUCAGAUGGGAUCAUUCCCUUGACCCCUUUGCAGGACUUGCAAAGAUGUUCACCUGUUUACUCAGCCUGCAGCUCUCAACCCCUCAUGGAAUGGGGAGCACACAGGUGAGUGGGUGCAGGAGCCAAGACGAGUGCUUCUGGGUGCUGGCAGGAGUAGAACUCUCUGUGGCCCCAUGGCAGCAUCUGGUACCCCUGUGACCCCUGGAGCCCCAGAGGGCAUGUGUUACAGUGUGAUCUUUUAGCUUUGCCAUCCAUGGACACCUUAAGUGUUUAACAGCUCAGUGGAGGGUCAGGGUAACAGCUUUUUGCACCUACCCUCUGGGUACCUGAGUUCUGGUCCAGCAUCCAGGAAGAAUCAGGUUAUGUGAACAAAUUGAAGGGUGGUAAAUGUGGAGGAUUUUACUGAGCAGUGGAAGUGGCUCUCAGCGGUAUGGGAGCUGUAAAGGGGAUGGAGUGGGAAGGUGGUCUUCCCCUGGAGUUUGGCCGUCCUCAGCCGAACUCUUCUCUGUCUCUGAAGUCCUGCCAUCAAGCCCUCCCUCUGAAGUCAAGCUGUUUCUCUCCGACACCUGGCUGCUUCUUCUUUUUUCUCCUCUGUGGCUCUGCUUCUGGGGCCUGGGGUUAUUAUGGGUGCAGGAUGUGAGGAGAGGAGAGCCAGGGUGGUUUUGGAAAAGGCAACAUUCGGGUGAGAAAACAGGAAUGCAUGCUCUCACUUUGGGCUGCAGUUUCAGGCUUAAGGGUGUGUCACUUGCUGGGACCACCCUCUUCUACCCAGUAUUUCCCUGCCUCCUGUGUGUAUCACUCUCAGUUUCACACACCAAAAAGUAUAUUCCUCCAUGCCAGACUGCUGGACACUGGAUCCACACCACUCUCUCUCCUCUGAGGAUGCUGCUGUCUCCUCCCUCCCUGCAGCUCCAAUGUGACAUCCUCAAGAGGGUUCUCUUACCACCCUAACAAAAGGAACUGCUUGCCCCCAACACACAUGCAUACAUGCACACUCUUUUCCUGGUUUCUUUUCUCAAAUCACCUUGCACUAACUGAAAGUAUCAAUUAAGAUCAUCAAGUUCAGUUAGUCCAUUUCAUAGAUGAAACCUGGGCAGGUUAAUGUGCAUUUACCCACAGAUAACAGCUAGUUACUGAAAGAGCAGAAGCAUGAUUAAAAUCUUCCUGCUAGGAGGAUCUUCUCCCUCAGCACCCUGAGACCCCUCAUUGGCCCUGUGUGUCUUCCUGGAAGGUGAGCUGUGAAGCAGCCCACCCCUGGUCAGCUGUUCCUGGUGGAGCCAAGGCAGGGUAAGGCCCACAGCUUGCUCCCUCCCGGUCCUCCAUCCACUCUGGGGAGAGGGCCUGGGCCCAGCCCCCUCACACUCCCUCAGGGAUCCUUUUGGCUGCAGCUUCUCCUGCACACUAGCAUUUUUUAAUUUUUGGCUGGUGGGGGUAGGAUUUCUGAGUUCCAGUUUGAAGAGGGAGAAUCUGACAGACCUGGCUAAGAACUAACCUCUCUGUCCAUGUUAGGGGCACCAAUCAAUCAAAAUGUGAGUUGGUUACCCUUGAGUGAACUGUCCACUCCAGCCUCACUCAUCUGCCACUGGGGGUGAGGGUAAGGGCGGAGACAAGAAGAGUCAGGGGUGCAUGAUUGCCCACCUGCCCUUCAGCAGGGACUGGCUUUGUCUUCCUUUCUUCUGGUCCUUUAGAAAUUGCAGAGGAAGAAUUCCAGCUCAGAUCUGUCCACUCCCUCAGGGUCCCAGACUCACACACUUUUUACCACACCUUCUCCACUCUCAUGCCUCCACCCAUCCCUGCCUCCUAGAGAUCAGGGAAAGGGCCUCUGAGCACUGGCCCAAGAUCUCUCAGGUAGGGCCUGUUUUAGAGAAAAAAGGUUGUUUAAAAACAUAGCCAAACACAAAUAACUCCUGGCGCAGAUGAUUAGUAUUCAUUUAGCUCUGCCUAGACUUAUAACUCCCAGGGUGUCAAGGAGCAGGACAGUUUACAAGCUUUGGAUUCAAACCCAUCAUUAAGGCCAUUAUUAAUGAUGAGUUUGGAUUCAAACCCAUUGUUAAGUCAAGAAAGGGAUGACCAGAUAGUAGAUAUUCCCAUUACCUUUAUUUCAUUACAUGAAUGUAUAAAAUUAUCACAUGUACCCCCAAAAUAUGUACAUCUACUAUGUAUCAAUAAAAAAAGAAGUCAUGACCACCUUAGAUACCCAUAUAUGUCUUCUGAAUCUGGAUUGGGAGCAGAGACAUCUGUUUCUGCACACCUGGAGCUGCUCUCCUCUCUCUGACCCACUAAGGAAGUGUAGCAGAGCAGUAGUGAUAAAAGUGACCUUAUUAUGCACACUAGGCUGAGUGGGCUCUAAGUUCCUUUAUGUGUAUGUCUGAAAUAUAUCUUUGUUUUGUUUUGUUUUGUUUUGUUGAGACAGGGUCUUGCUCUGUUGCCCAGGCUGGAGUACAAUGGUGCAAUCAUGGGUCACUGCAGCUUCAACCCCCUGGGCUCAAGGGAUCCUGCUGCCUCAGCCACUUGAGUAGUUGGGACUACAGUCAUAUGACACUGUGCCCAGCUAAUUUUUUUUUUUUUUUGUCAAUAGCUUAUUGGUUUCAUUAAAAUAUUUCCUCUUAGAAGUAAUUCAAAACACCCAUUUAAAAAACAUAUUACAUUCCUGUUGCGUCCACUUACUAUUAUUGAAAGAAGAGUCUACAUUUGAUUAUGCACCCAGCUAAUUUUUUAAGUUUUUUGUAGAUACCAGGUCUUGCCAGGUUGGCUAGGCUGGUCUCAAACUCCUGGGCUCAAGCAAUCCUCCCACCUUGGCCUCCCAAAGUGCUAUUACUACAGGUGUGAGCCACCCCAUCCUGCUUGUAAUAUUUCAUAAUUUUAAAAAAUUGUUGCUAAUCUGGAUAUUUAAACUAUUUUUACUAACUACUCAUUUGUGACACAGCUCACGAACUUGAUACCUUGCAACCUGGUUGAGAAAGAUGCUACAAAGAAUUUCUGUGCCCCAAGGACAUACAUGAUAUAGCAGGGUUGUAUGAAGGCAUUUGAGUCCUAACACUCAAACAGUAGGUGCUGGUGAAAAAAAGAGAAUAAAUACAGUGCCUGCUCUUGGGGAGCACUCUACUGAAGGUGUGAGGUCUAGUGGGAGGUGUCUCCCACCCCCUACCAUAUGCAAUUCAAGUUAAGCAAUGCUAAAACCAUAAAGUGACAAAUAACAAAAAUUUACUUGUAUGUUAAAAAUCAAGUCGCUUCUUGGAUGGGCUCUUCUGGCUUUCCUAGAUCCAUGCUUUGUCUUACUGGUGGGUAAAGUCUAGACCAGUGCUGGUCUAGACUGUAAGCUCCCUGAGGGCAGGACUGGGGAUUACAACACCCCAUGUGCCUUACAGCUCGCCUCACGCACAGCCUGCCUCUAGUGUGUGCUGCCUCCAUCUCUGUGGAAUAUAGAGGAACUAACUGUUUCUGGGUGUCUGGAAUGGAUGCUUGAAGGACAAUGGGCUGAGAAGCCUCAGAAGUCAUUUUUUUCCUCAUCUAUGGAAGUGCUGAAGGAACCCUAAGGAGGUGGGUCGUUACAGACCUGCUUCCAUCUGUAACUCCUGCUCAUGGACACAUUUGCUGGGCACCUCAUCUGGGGAUGAGGACAAGGUUGGCUCACCACUGAGCACUGACACAGUUCAGUUUGAGGCAGGACCAGAUUUAACAUUUUUAUCCACCCACCUGCUUUCCUACUAUUUGCGGCUUCAUAUCUUUAUGUCUUGAAGGCUGUGAUAUUGUGAUAUAAUAAGAAAUAUAUAUUUGGUCUUCAUCCGUGUCCAAGGCACAAGAGCUCCUAAAACCCUUGGAAUUUUCUGAGGGAUAGGUGUGAGAGGAGUGUCUUUGUUAUUUAUAAUAAGCCCCUUUCAACCAUACCUCAGUUUGUGCAAGUGAGGUGACUCUUUGAGGAUGGGGGUUGGUUGCAGAAAAACCAACCCUGUGAUUAGAGGGUUGGAACUUUCAGCCCUGGACACCAUUCCUGCCUCCACCCCACAUCUCUGGAGAGGGGCAAGGGGCUGAAGAUGGACUUAAUCCCAAUGACCAAAGAUUUAAUCAACCAUGCCUAUGUAACGGAACCUUGGUUAAAAAAAAAAAAAAAAAAAACUAAAGAAAGGGGUUCAAAGAGCUCCAGAGUUGGUGAAUGCUGGGAGGGUGGUGCAACCCAACUCCAUGAGUACAGAAGUCCUGUGCUUGGAACCUUCUUGGACCUUGCCCUAUAUGCCUCUUCAUCUGACUGCUCAUCUGUUUCCUUUAUAAUUAACCAGUAACAGUAAGGAAAAGUGUUUCCCUGAGUUCUGUGAGCCCUGAUAGCAAAUUAUCAAACCUGAGCAGAAGUCAUGGGAACGCAUGAUUUGUAGCUUAGUUGGUCAGAAGUACUGGAGGCCUGAGACUUGUGACUGUUGUGUGAAGUGGGGACAAUGUUGUGGGACUGAGCCCUUAGCCUGUGGGGUCUGUGCUAACUUUGGGUAGUCAGUGUCAGAAAUGACUUAAAUUGUAAGUCAGCUAGUUGGUGUUCACAGAGAAUUAGUGAACUUCUUGAUGGGGAAAACUUGUGUGUCUUGUGUUUAAAGUGUUGAGUAUAGAAAAUAGUUUUCUUUUAAAGGUCUUCGGAUUACCUGAGCCUCCUCCUUAAGGGGCAGCCACCUUAAGCUUUUGUUAACCUACUCUUCAGGUACCAGGAGCCUCAGUUAGGCCUAGUAGGAAUAAAAGUGGACAUAGGAUAAUAUGACAAAUAAUGUGGCUUGGCUUACCCAAACCCCAUUUCCAAUUCACUUCCUACUUGCCGCCUUUCCCACAGGGGUGGCCAGGAAACACAGUUUUAACUAAUGAGACAUAGAUGGAGCUCUGCUGUGAGGUUCCUGGGAAAUCCUUUGCUUUUCUCAUUCAAGCAUCACCCUGAUUCUUUUAUAAUUGAGUCCAAAGCUCAUACUACUCACCACACAACAGCCAAUAAGUAGAGAUACAAGGUGUUGGGGCAAGGAAAGCAACUUUUAUUGGGAAAGCCAACAAACUGAGAAGAUGGUGGACUCGUGUCCUAAAGAACUGUCUUAAGUUAAUACAAAUUUUAGACUCUUUUUAUGUUAGGGGAAGGGAGAAGAGGAAGGGAAUUGAGGUCAAGAGAUGACUGAUGAUCACAGACAUCUGGGUGGCAGUGAGGGUCCAAGGAGGUUGUGAAACUUCUGUGUUCUUGGUCAAGUCACAGUGCUCCUCUAAAUCUUUAACAUGGACAGGGAUGGUGGCUCAUGCCUGUAAUCCCAGCACUUGACGGAGGUUGAGGCAGGAGGAUC